AGGACGAACGCUGGCGGCGUGCUUAACACAUGCAAGUCGAGCGGUAAGGCCCUUUCGGGGGUACACGAGCGGCGAACGGGUGAGUAACACGUGGGUGACCUGCCCUUAGCUCUGGGAUAAGCCUGGGAAACUGGGUCUAAUACCGGAUAUGACCUCGCGAUGCAUGUCGUGGGGUGGAAAGCCUUGUGCGGCUAGGGAUGGGCCCGCGGCCUAUCAGCUUGUUGGUGGGGUGAUGGCCUACCAAGGCGACGACGGGUAGCCGGCCUGAGAGGGCGACCGGCCACACUGGGACUGAGACACGGCCCAGACUCCUACGGGAGGCAGCAGUGGGGAAUCUUGCGCAAUGGGCGAAAGCCUGACGCAGCGACGCCGCGUGAGGGAUGACGGCCUUCGGGUUGUAAACCUCUUUCAGCCCUGACGAGCGAAGUGACGGUAGGGCGAGAAGAAGCACCGGCCAACUACGUGCCAGCAGCCGCGGUAA
rnacentral:rRNA from 1 species